rnacentral:rRNA from 1 species
CCUACGGGAGGCAGCAGUGGGGAAUAUUGGGCAAUGGAGGAAACUCUGACCCAGCGACGCCGCGUGCGGGAUGAAGGCCUUCGGGUUGUAAACCGCUUUCAGCAGGGAAGAAGCGAAAGUGACGGUACCUGCAGAAGAAGCACCGGCUAACUAUGUGUCAGCAGCCGCGGUAAUACAUAGGGUGCAAGCGUUGUCCGGAAUUAUUGGGCGUAAAGAGCUCGUAGGUGGUUCGUCACGUCGGAUGUGAAAAUCUGGGGCUUAACCCCAGACCUGCAUUCGAUACGGGCGAGCUUGAGUAUGGUAGGGGAGUCUGGAAUUCCUGGUGUAGCGGUGGAAUGCGCAGAUAUCAGGAGGAACACCAAUGGAGAAGGCAGGACUCUGGGCCAUUACUGACACUGAGGAGCGAAAGCGUGGGGAGCGAACAGGAUUAGAUACCCUGGUAGUCCACGCCGUAAACGGUGGGCACUAGUUGUGGGGACCUUCCACGGUCUCUGCGACGCNGCUACGCAUAGUGCCCGCCGUCGGGAGGUACGAGUCGCGAGAAGUUAAACGUACGUAAGUUAAGUUAGUACGCGUUGAGACGNGCGACGGACGACGACGAGGGAGGAGG